AAUUUUUUCUAGACGGAUAAUGAGGCUAAUCAAAGUGCUCUUCGCCCUAAUAGGCAAUGCAGUAGGCUAAGUUCUAAAUGAACCUCUGCAGUAUGGGAUCACUUUAAUAGGGUUAUGGAAGGAGAUAAAGUUAGGGUAGUUUGUAUUUAUUAUGGGAAAACUUAUGCUUGCAAUUCAAAAAAAUCAUGGAAGUAGUAAUCUAAAUGCUCAUUUAAACAACCAAUGUCUAGAAUAUCCUUAUAGAAUUAGUAAAACCCAAAGGGGUUCUAAUUCAGCCUCUACGGUUAGUUCAAGUUCUAGUGGUAGUCUUUGAGGAAAGACUUUCAAUGUGGAGGGAAUUAGGAGGGAGCUUUCUAAAAUGAUUAUAAUUGAUGAGUUAUCCUUUAGUAUUGUGGAGGGUGAAGGAUUUAGGAACUAUUCUCAUGUUUUGGAACCAAGAUAUGCGGUUCCAUCUCGUAUCACUAUUGCUAGAGAUUGUAUGAAAGUUUAUAAAGAAGAAAAACUGAAAUUAAAGCAAGUUUUAUAGUCUCAAAGAAUUUGUCUUACCACUGAUACUUGGUCAUCAGUCCAAAAUCUAAAUUACAUGUGUUUAACUGCUCAUUGGAUUGAUAGUGAAUGGAACUUACAUAAAAGGAUCUUAAAUUUUGUUUAGUUCAUAAUCAUAAAGGUGAGACAAUUGGUAAGAUGGUUGAGACAUGUUUACUAGAUUGGUAGAUAGAUCAUAUUUUUACUAUUACUGUUGACAAUGCAAGCUCCAAUGAUGGUGCUAUUAGGUAUUUGAAAAGGGAAACUAAGGAUUGGAAGGGUACUAUAUUGGGUCAUGAGUUCAUACAUGUGAGAUGUUGUGCUCAUAUUGUGAAUCUAGUUUUGAAGGAGGGUUUAGAGGACCAUAAUGAUUUAAUUGUUAGAAUUAGGAAUGCAGUGAGAUAUGUGAGGUCUUCUCCUAUUAGGUCUCAAACUUUCAAGAUGUGUGCAGAGAAAACAAAAAUAAAAAGUAAGAGUCUUAUCUGCCUUAAUGUUGAAAGUAGGUGGAAUUAUACUUAUAAGAUGCUUAAAGUUGCUGAUAAUUUUGAAAAAGCUUUUGAUAAGUUAGAAGUAGAAGAUCAAAAUACUUUUCUUACUUUGAUGGAAUAGAAAAUAUUGGUCCUCCUAGUAAAUAAGAUUGAAAAGUUGCUAGAGUAUUUGUGAAGUUUUUGAGGCUUUUUUAUAUUGUGACAUUACGGUUGUCAGGUUCUUUGUAUGUCACAUCAAAUGCCUUUUUCCAUGAGCUCAUGGUCUUAAUAGAGAGGUUGAACACAUUGGGGGAGAAUACGAUACACUUUUGAAUUCAAUGGUCAUUCAAAUGAAGAAGAAACUUGAUAAAUAUUGGAAGAAUGAGGAUAAUCUUAAUUUUUUAUUAUUUAUAGAUGUUGUGUUAGAUCCUCACUUUAAGUUGGCAUAUGUGAGAUAUUGUUUUAAUGGAGUUUAUGGAAGCUUGAUGGCUAAGGAGAUGGGGAAUAAAGUGGAAGCAAUUUUGGUUAAAUUGUAUGAUCAUUAAUUGUCAUGUCAUUUAAGUAACAUUAAAGAAGCAUGUAAUUUGAGUCAAGGUUCCGAUGAGAUGAAUUUUGAUGAGAUGGAUGAGGCCAUAGUUGUUAAAGGCAUGCCUGAGGCGCACUAUAGGCACCAGGCAAUGGAGGCUCAGCUGCUUGCACCUUAAAACAGUCCAAGCGGGCGACAUUAAGAAGGUGCUGCCUAGGCUUCAGGCACACCUAGGCUUAAGGUUUAUCCCAGCGCACCUCAGCAGCCCCAAGCGCCCUAUUUAAUGAAGGGGACUUUUAUAACAGCCCCACUCCACCCCAACAGCAAUCCCUUUUAGAAGUUAAAAAAAAAUGUGAAAAGAAGAAGUUAAGAAGAAGAAGACAA
rnacentral:misc_RNA from 1 species